CGGGGUGCCAGGCGCGAAAACUUUGCAAUACACGAAAGUGUGACAGGGUCAUCCCGAGUGCCGACCGCUGAGGUUGGCUUUUACCCAGUCUAGAAAGCUGGGGGAAUAAGGAGAGGGCAAGUCUGGUGUCAGCCGCCGCGGUAAUACCAGCUCUCCGAGUGGUGUGGACGUUUAUUGGGCCUAAAGCAUCCGUAGCUGGCUGAACAAGUCCCCUGUUAAACCCACCGAUUUAAUCGUUGGUCUGCGGGGGAUACUGCUCGGCUAGGGGACGAGAGAGGCAGACGGUAUUCCCGGGGUAGGGGUGAAAUCCUAUAAUCCCGAGAAGACCACCAGUGGCGAAGGCUGUCUGCUAGAACGCGCCCGACGGUGAGGGAUGAAAGCUGGGGGAGCGAACCGGAUUAGAUACCCGGGUAGUCCCAGCUGUAAACGAUGCAGACUAGGUGUUUGGACGGCCACGUGCCGUUCUAGUGCCGCAGGGAAGCUGUUAAGUCUGCCGCCUGGGGAGUACGAUCGCAAAAUUGAAACUUAAAGGAAUUGGCGGGGGAGCAC
rnacentral:rRNA from 1 species